rnacentral:rRNA from 1 species
GAUGAACGCUGGCGGCGUGCCUAAUACAUGCAAGUCGAGCGAACGGACGAGAAGCUCGCUUCCCUGCUGUUAGCGGCGGACGGGUGAGUAACACGUGGAUCACCUACCUAUAAUACUGGGAUAACUUCGGGAAACCGGUGCUACUACCGGAUAAUACUUUGAACCGCAUGGUUCAAAAGUGCAUGACGGCCUUGCUGUCUCUUUUAGAUGGAUCCGCGCUGGAUUAGCUAGUUGGUAAGGUAACGGCUUACCAAGGCAACGAUGCAUAGCCGGCCUGAGAGGGUGAUCGGCCACACUGGAACUGAGACACGGUCCAGAAUCCUACGGGAGGCAGCAGUAGGGAAUAUUCCGCAAUGGGCGAAAGCCUGAUGGAGCAACGCCGCGUGAGUGAUGAAGGUCUUCGGAUCGUAAAACUCUGUUAUUAGGGAAGAAAAGAUGUGUAAGUAACUGUGCACAUCUUGACGGUACCUAAUCAGAAAGCCACGGCUAACUACGUG